CCUACGGGUGGCAGCAGUGAGGAAUAUUGGUCAAUGGACGAGAGUCUGAACCAGCCAAGUAGCGUGAAGGAUGACUGCCCUAUGGGUUGUAAACCUCUUUUACAUGGGAAUAAAAUGUUCCACGUGUGGCAUUUUGUAUGUACCAUAUGAAUAAGGCUCGGCCAACUCCGUGCCAGCAGCCGCGGUAAUACGGAGGAUCCGAGCGUUAUCCGGAUUUAUUGGGUUUAAAGGGAGCGUAGGUGGAUUGUUAAGUCAGUUGUGAAAGUUUGCGGCUCAACCGUAAAAUGGCAGUUGAAACUGGCAGUCUUGAGUACAGUAGAGGUGGGCGGAAUGCGUGGUGUAGCGGUGAAAUGCUUAGAUAUCACGAAGAACUCCGAUUGCGAAGGCAGCUCACUGGACUGCAACUGACACUGAGGCUCGAAAGUGUGGGUAUCAAACAGGAUUAGAUACCCCGGUAGUC
rnacentral:rRNA from 1 species